rnacentral:rRNA from 1 species
GUUGAUAUUCCUGUACCACCUCCUCACCGUUUGAGAAAUGGGGGGACGCAGUAGGAUAGGGUAAGCGCGCUGUUGGAUAUGCGCGUCCAAGCAGUAAGGCGUGUGUGUAGGCAAAUCCGCACACUGUAACGUUGAGCUGUGAUGGCGAGUCCGUAUGGACGAAGUUCCUGAUUUCACACUGCCAAGAAAAGCCUCUAUCGAGGUGAGAGGUGCCCGUACCGCAAACCGACACAGGUAGUCGAGGAGAGAAUCCUAAGGUGGGCGAGAGAACUCUCGUUAAGGAACUCGGCAAAAUGACCCCGUAACUUCGGGAGAAGGGGUGCUCUUGAGCGUGCAAGCGCAUGAGAGCCGCAGUGAAUAGGCCCAGGCGACUGUUUAGCAAAAACACAGGUCUCUGCAAAACCGUAAGGUGACGUAUAGGGGCUGACGCCUGCCCGGUGCUGGAAGGUUAAGAGGAGUGGUUAGCGCAAGCGAAGCUGCGAAUUGAAGCCCCAGUAAACGGCGGCCGUAACUAUAACGGUCCUAAGGUAGCGAAAUUCCUUGUCGGGUAAGUUCCGACCCGCACGAAAGGCGUAACGAUCUGGGCACUGUCUCAACGAGAGACUCGGUGAAAUUAUAGUACCU